rnacentral:rRNA from 1 species
AUUGAACGCUGGCGGCAGGCCUAACACAUGCAAGUCGAACGAGUGGCGGACGGGUGAGUAAUGUCUGGGAAACUGCCUGAUGGAGGGGGGUAACUACUGGAAACGGUAGCUAAUACAGCAUACCAUCAGAUGUGGCCAGAUGGGGUUCGCGAGUUGGUGGGGUAACGUCUCACGACGGCGACGCUCCCUAGCUGGUCUGAGAGGAUGACCUGCCACACUGGAACUGAGACACGGUCCGCACUCCUACGGGAGGCAGCAGGGGGGAAUAUUGCACAGUGGGCGCAGGCCUGAUGCAGCCAUGCCGCGUGUAUGAAGAAGGCCUUCGGGUUGUAAAGUACUUUCAGCGGGGAGGCGUUACCCGCAGAAGAAGCACCGGCUAACUCCGUGCCAGCAGCCGCGGUAAUAC